GAUGAACGCUGGCGGCGUGCCUAAUACAUGCAAGUCGAGCGAACAGACGAGGAGCUUGCUCCUCUGACGUUAGCGGCGGACGGGUGAGUAACACGUGGAUAACCUACCUAUAAGACUGGGAUAACUUCGGGAAACCGGAGCUAAUACCGGAUAAUAUAUUGAACCGCAUGGUUCAAUAGUGAAAGACGGUUUUGCUGUCACUUAUAGAUGGAUCCGCGCCGCAUUAGCUAGUUGGUAAGGUAACGGCUUACCAAGGCAACGAUGCGUAGCCGACCUGAGAGGGUGAUCGGCCACACUGGAACUGAGACACGGUCCAGACUCCUACGGGAGGCAGCAGUAGGGAAUCUUCCGCAAUGGGCGAAAGCCUGACGGAGCAACGCCGCGUGAGUGAUGAAGGUCUUCGGAUCGUAAAACUCUGUUAUUAGGGAAGAACAAAUAUGUAAGUAGCUAUGCACGUCUUGACGGUACCUAAUCAGAAAGCCACGGCUAACUACGUG
rnacentral:rRNA from 1 species